rnacentral:rRNA from 1 species
UGCGUCAAAACUUUAUCAAAUUUCAAUUUGAUAAUUUUGAGAUGUAUUUGCAAUAAAGGUGUGAGGUCCCGUCAAGAAUAUAUAAAUUGUUUUCAAUUGCUAACUUUUAGUUUUUUGAAAACUUACGGAUCUGAGAUCUUGGAAAGUCACUUAAAAAUAUUUUUAAUGUGCACUCAAAGUAAUCCUUAAUUUUUUAAGGAGGCUGAACCUAAAUAACUUAAGUCAAUCUUAUUUUUAUUUGGAGAAUGCAAUUCAUAUUGAGUAGAUUUAUCUACAAAAGGAUUUGAACACAACGG